UACGAAGGGGGCUAGCGUUGUUCGGAAUUACUGGGCGUAAAGGGCGCGUAGGCGGCAUGGCAAGUCACUUGUGAAAUCUCCGGGCUUAACUCGGAACGGUCAAGUGAUACUGUCGGACUAGAGUACAGAAGGGGCAACUGGAAUUCUCGGUGUAGCGGUGAAAUGCGUAGAUAUCGAGAGGAACACCUGCGGCGAAGGCGGGUUGCUGGGCUGAUACUGACGCUGGAGGCGCGAAAGCCAGGGGAGCGAACGGG
rnacentral:rRNA from 1 species